UGCUCAGCAACUCCUAUCCCUACCUCCUCGCGGUACUGGCCGGGGUACGAGUAACCUUAGGGAAGAUCGGGUAACCAAACCCCGGUGGGAACUCUGGUCGUAUGCUGAAAGGGAAGG
rfam:Aedes aegypti strain Liverpool supercont1.490 genomic scaffold, whole genome shotgun sequence.